GGCUAGGUAGCUCAGUCGGUAGAGCAAUGGACUGAAAAUCCAUGUGUCGCCGGUUCGAUCCCGGCCCAAGCCA
rfam:Firmicutes bacterium CAG:313 genomic scaffold, scf11